AUUGAACGCUGGCGGCAUGCUUUACACAUGCAAGUCGAACGGUAACAGGCCUUCGGGUGCUGACGAGUGGCGAACGGGUGAGUAAUGCAUCGGAACGUGCCCAGAGGUGGGGGAUAACGCAGCGAAAGCUGUGCUAAUACCGCAUGUGAUCUGAGGAUGAAAGCGGGGGACCAGGCAGCAAUGUUUGGCCUCGCGCCUUUGGAGCGGCCGAUGUCAGAUUAGGUAGUUGGUGGGGUAAAGGCCUACCAAGCCGACGAUCUGUAGCUGGUCUGAGAGGACGACCAGCCACACUGGGACUGAGACACGGCCCAGGCUCCUACGGGAGGCAGCAGUGGGGAAUUUUGGACAAUGGGCGCAAGCCUGAUCCAGCAAUGCCGCGUGCGGGAAGAAGGCCUUCGGGUUGUAAACCGCUUUUGUACGGAACGAAAAAGCUCUGGCUAAUACCUGGGGCUGAUGACGGUACCGUAAGAAUAAGCACCGGCUAACUACGUG
rnacentral:rRNA from 1 species